UACGGAGGGGGCUAGCGUUGUUCGGAAUUACUGGGCGUAAAGCGCACGUAGGCGGCUUUGUAAGUUAGAGGUGAAAGCCCAGGGCUUAACCCUGGAAUUGCCUUUAAGACUGCAUCGCUAGAAUCGUGGAGAGGUGAGUGGAAUUCCGAGUGUAGAGGUGAAAUUCGUAGAUAUUCGGAAGAACACCAGUGGCGAAGGCGACUCACUGGACACAUAUUGACGCUGAGGUGCGAAAGCGUGGGGAGCAAACAGG
rnacentral:rRNA from 1 species